AACGAACGCUGGCGGCGUGGAUAAGACAUGCAAGUCGAACGGGAACUUCAGCUGUAGCAAUACAGUUGAAGUUUUAGUGGCGAACGGGUGCGUAACACGUGGGCAAUCUGCCGAGAAGUGGGGGAUAGCUCGCCGAAAGGCGAAUUAAUACCGCAUAUGAUCAGCUAAGACAUCUUAGCGACAUCAAAGCCGGGGCAACCUGGCGCUUUUUGAGGAGCCCGCGGCCUAUCAGCUAGUUGGUGAGGUAACGGCUCACCAAGGCUAUGACGGGUAGCUGGUCUGAGAGGACGACCAGUCACACUGGAACUGAGACACGGUCCAGACACCUACGGGUGGCAGCAGUCGAGAAUUUUUCUCAAUGGGCGAAAGCCUGAAGG
rnacentral:rRNA from 1 species